CUGUAGUCAUAAGUAAGCCAAUCAGGUUCCUCUCCUCACAGCUCCACUGUGCAAUGGCUGUGAAUAGCAGCAUUCUUGAGAGUAUAUACGACCUACUACUGUUUAUGUGAGCUGCUCUAAGGGACCAUGGCAACAGUG